rnacentral:rRNA from 1 species
UGCGUAGGUGGCUUUGUAAGUCAGUGGUGAAAUCUUAGAGCUUAACUCUAAAACUGCCAUUGAUACUGCUUAGCUUGAAUCAAGUUGAGGUGGAUGGAAUAUUACAUGUAGCGGUGAAAUGCUUAGAUAUGUAAUAGAACACCGAUUGCGAAGGCAGUUCACUAAGCUUGUAUUGACACUGAGGCACGAAAGCGUGGGGAGCAAACAGGAUUAGAUACCCUGGUAGUC